AUGUAUAUUUACAAAUAUGACAUAAUUUUAAUCCUCUCUUUUAUUUGGCAGGACCAUCAAUCAAAAAUGACAAACCAGCGAGAAUCCCUGGUACCAACAGUCUUGUCUGCAUCAUCAUUGGCUCUUAUACUUGCCUGGAUAGAGAAUUUGUCCUUUUUUAAAAGAUAAAGUGGUGUAUUACCUUUUUCAGGUAAGUAAACUAUGUAUAUGAGUGUGUGUGUGUGUGUACACACAUAUAUUCAGUACAUACACAUAUAUUCAGUAUGUAUCUUUUAUCUUUUAAAAUGUAUGUAUUGGACUUAGAAUAUUUUUUUCUUGGCUAGUGAAAAUCCUUUUCUUCCAGAUGCCUAUUUUAAUGAAAAAGUAUAUAUUAAAUAUAUUUUUUUUUUAAAAAAUGAAGGCCUUUAUUAUGUAACACUGUGUUCUAGACAUCAGAGACAUAAUAAGGACUUCUAGAAACCACCCAUUGAAAUGCUUUAAUAAAUACCUCAUAUAUAUAUACUAUUAGUUUACUAAUUUAAAAGCAGAGAGAACCAGGAGUGUUGAAAUAAAGUUUUUUCCAUUUAGAAACAAUGACAAUUUGUCUAUCAAUGUCUGAUUAUCUCAAAAUGACCACACAUUUCUCCCCCCCUUUGGGUUCUCUAAAAUAAUUAUUUUUAUAACUAGAGGUUAUUUAUUAAGAUAAUUACCUACUAUAAUUAUGUUGCUUUGAUUAGUUUUAUAAUAAGCCUCAUUUUAUUCCUUUAGGUAUCAUUUUAUAUAUUCUUUAAUAUUAUUUUAUAAAAUAGAGGUUUUGUCUGGUUUAGGGAAAUACAUUUUCUUUUUUGAUUCCUAGACAAUUUUGGAAUAGCAAUAGGGCAAAACUAAGUCCUAUGGCUCCUGCUUUGAAGGGAGAAAAGAGUUAUCUUACAUAGGCUAAAAGAAAACUUGAUAUUUAUACUAUUAACAAAUUGUGAAAAAUUUGAUUAAUGCCUGAAUCUGUGUAUUCAAUUUUCUAACUGCUAUUUUCUGGGAUUUUUCUGAGAAUAAUCUUUGUUUCUAGGAACAAUCAAUUUCUCUUCCCCUCAAAAAAACAAAGUCAGAUAAGGAAAACAGAAUUAUUAAUACAUUUUAACAGAGUAAAACCAAAUGUGAUUUGUUUGGGCAACUCUGAAUUAGAUUAGGUUAUUUUUUAAAUAGUACUUGCUUAAUAUACUGAUAUGUAAUAUAUCAAAACAUUUAUGUUGUUAAAAUAUGUGCUGAUGCAACUUAGAAACAUAUUCACUGCAGUAAAUUAAAUCCAUGUACUUGUGUUAACAUAGCUUGGAUUUUGAGUCUUUAAAUAUUCUUCCUAUCUUUCAAAUUUUAUAAUGAGUAUUUUAUUUGUUAAAAUGGAUACAGGAGGAAGGUAAAAGUUCUGAAGCAUAGCAAUAGGUAAACUUCUACCCCUGGACUCAAAUACUGGAGCUUGACCAGUGCCUAUGACUGUAUAUGUGAAUUCCCCCAAUUCCCUAUCCCUCUGUUACACACACAGAACGAAUACCCGAGUUUUUUAUUUAUCACUGCUUUAACGAAAAAGAAAAUACAUUUGCCAUUGUUCCAGAUUAUCUUUCUACAAUAUAGCAUCAAUUGUCUCUUCUCAUAUGUUGCCUGUCUCAUCAGAAAGAAACCUAGACCUAUGUUUCUUGGCACAACUAUCAAUAGCGUGUUGGGUUAAACUUUGAUAUUGAGAAGCAUGUAAUAUUGAGAAGGCUGAAGGAAACCCCAUUAAUCUCCCAAAGGAGGGUUUUUAACUGCAUAUAUGUAUUUUAAUAUAAAUCAUCCA
ensembl:lncRNA